rnacentral:rRNA from 1 species
CAGUAGCCGCGGGAAUACGUAGGGUGCGAGCGUUAGUCGGAAUUACUGGGCGUAAAGCGUGCGCAGGCGGUUAUAUAAGUCAGAUGUGAAAUCCCCGGGCUCAACCUGGGAACUGCAUUUGAGACUGUAUGGCUAGAGUGUGUCAGAGGGGGGUAGAAUUCCACGUGUAGCAGUGAAAUGCGUAGAUAUGUGGAGGAAUACCGAUGGCGAAGGCAGCCCCCUGGGAUAACACUGACGCUCAUGCACGAAAGCGUGGGGAGCAAACAGGAUUAGAUACCCGUGUAGUCCCUGUCUCUUAUAC